rnacentral:rRNA from 1 species
GUCCUCUCGUUUGUUUGUGAGGUCAGGCCUGCCCAGUGAUAGUUUUUAACGGCCGCGGUAUUUUGACCGUGCAAAGGUAGCAUAAUCAUUAGUCUUUUAAUAGGGGGCUGGAAUGAAAGGUUUAACGAGGUAUUAGCUGUCUCAUUUUUAUAUUAGAAUUUAACUUUUAAGUUAAAAGGCUUAAAUUUAGUUGGAAGACGAGAAGACCCUAUAGAGCUUUAUAAUUAUAUAUUUAAAUACUUUUAGUUUAUUUUUUGUAUUUAUUUAUUUAAUUAUUUUGUUGGGGUGACAAAAAUAUAUGAUUAACUUUUGUUAUUUUAUAAACAUAAAUUUAUGAUUAUUGGAUCCAGUAUUAUUGAUCAUUAGUCUAAGUUACCUUAGGGAUAACAGCGUAAUCUUCCCUCAGAGUUCAUAUUUACGGGAAGGCUUGCGACCUCGAUGUUGGAUUAAGAUAAUAUUUUAGUGCAGUAGCUAAAAUAAUAGGUCUGUUCGACCUUUAAAUUCUUACAUGAUCUGAGUUCAAACCGG